rnacentral:lncRNA from 1 species
AAAAUAAACAUUAACCAGAUGCUCCACAGGGCGCAGCUUUAUACGACCGCAUAGGUUGAACCCUGAACGGUUGGGGCAAGUAUGGACACAACAUUCAAGCUGGAUUCAGCUCUAAAUUUGGAUUGUGAUUAAAUAGUUGACACAGCAUAGGUUUUGGACACAGUUCUGAAUGUGGUCUAAUGAACUUAAAAUAAUUUUUUUGUCUUUGAGCAAUCACUAUGCUGUUGAAUAUUAAUCCUCUCAAAAAAAUGUUUGAAGAAAUUUUAUGAAAUCUGAAAUGAGAAAAAUUAAACCCCCUUCCCCCCACCAUUUUUUUUUCACAUCCCCCUUUCCUUUUUUCAAAAACUGAUCUCAAUGCAAAUUUCUAAUGGAGUUUGCAACAAUAACUACUCAUUUAAAUACAUCAUAAAAUAUUAAAAUGUAACAAAAAGUGCUUGUUAUCACUGAAUGGUAAAGAGUGUUUUAAUUUAUCAGUUGGUAGUAAAAGUGAAUAUACAUUGUGCAUUGUAUAAAACAAUGAUUUAAGUUGAUUCAACUACUAUUCUGGACAAAGAAAGAUAACUCCAAUCAAUUGAA